CAAGCGUGAGGUAAGGGCAAUUCGUGGAUGCCUUGGCGCAUACAGGCGAUGAAGGACGUGGCACGCUGCGAUAAGCUGCGGUGAGGUGUGAGCAACCUUUGACCCGCAGAUUUCCGAAUGGGGAAACCCACCCAUCCCGUUUAACUCUGCCGUGUGGUGACACACGGUUGGGCUAAAUGGGUUGAGGUAUCAUGAAGGUGAAUACAUAGCUUUCGUGAAGCGAACCCGGCGAACUGAAACAUCUCAGUAGCUGGAGGAAAAGACAUCAACCGAGAUUCCGUUAGUAGUGGCGAGCGAACGCGGACCAGGCCAGUGCCUGAUAUUCAACUAGCAGAACAGUUUGGAAAGACUGGCCGUAGCGGGUGACAGCCCCGUAUGCGAAAGUGAGA
rnacentral:rRNA from 1 species